rnacentral:lncRNA from 1 species
AGCGGAAUAAGGUUCUGAUUACAUGUAUGAAGACAUGUAUCCCUAGAGUUCAUUAAUACAUAAUAAGACAAAAGAGUCCCGCUCGUCACUUCAUCACCAUCGGCAGCUACUCAACCUGCACAUUUAGAAAUAUAUGCAGGGCUGAGUACAAAAGUACUCAGUGGGCACGUAUGCCUAAGUAUAAAAAUACAUGCUUCAAAAGUGUAAAUUGUCAUGCCAUCAUAAACAGUACAGCAAGGGAGUUUUUCGCUAAAAAGGCCCAAGCUUACUAAGUUCAUUUGUGAUUCUUAAAGUUCGACUGCAGUCUAAGUUCUCUUGUAAUCUAU